AUUUAAGCUAAUUGGAGUCCAACCUGUAACACCAGUUGGAAGGAUUUCAGUACUGUGCCACGGGUAUUAACACUGGUUGUGUGGAUCCACUAAUUUGAUAUCCCAAAGGACUAGAGAGUUAGCCCUAAACUAGCGGGUGACCCCUACUGGAAGGUGACAUCUCAUAAUCCUAUGUUGACUACAUAGUUUUGGAACUUAGGGACUGUUACUAAGGACCCAGUACUAACUGGCGGAUGAGCCCCC
rnacentral:lncRNA from 1 species